GAUGAACGCUGGCGGCGUGCCUAAUACAUGCAAGUCGAGCGAACAGACGAGGAGCUUGCUCCUCUGACGUUAGCGGCGGACGGGUGAGUAACACGUGGAUAACCUACCUAUAAGACUGGGAUAACUUCGGGAAACCGGAGCUAAUACCGGAUAACAUGUUGAACCGCAUGGUUCAACAGUGAAAGACGGUUUUGCUGUCACUUAUAGAUGGAUCCGCGUCGCAUUAGCUAGUUGGUAAGGUAACGGCUUACCAAGGCAACGAUGCGUAGCCGACCUGAGAGAGUGAUCGGCCACACUGGAACUGAGACACGGUCCAGACUCCUACGGGAGGCAGCAGUAGGGAAUCUUCCGCAAUGGGCGAAAGCCUGACGGAGCAACGCCGCGUGAGUGAAGAAGGUCUUCGGAUCGUAAAACUCUGUUAUUAGGGAAGAACAAAUGUGUAAGUAACUAUGCACGUCUUGACGGUACCUAAUCAGAAAGCCACGGCUAACUACGUG
rnacentral:rRNA from 1 species